AUACUUACCUGGCAGGGGAGAUAACCAUGAUCAUGAAGGUGGUUUUCCCAGGGCAAGGCUUAUCCAUUGUACUCCGGAUGUGCUGACCCCUGCAAUUCCCCAAAUUUGGGAAAUGUGAUUGCAUAAUUUGUGUUAGUGGCGGACUGUGUUCAUGCUUUCCCCUG